rnacentral:rRNA from 1 species
CACGUAGGGCGCAAGCGUUGUCCGGAAUUAUUGGGCGUAAAGAGCUCGUAGGCGGUCUGUUGCGUCCGCUGUGAAAACUCGGGGCUUAACCCCGGGAGGCGGGCGGAUACUGUCGAGCUAGAGUCCGGAAGAGGCGAGUGGAAUUCCUGGUGUAGCGGUGAAAUGCGCAGAUAUCAGGAGGAACACCAAUGGCGAAGGCAGCUCGCUGGGACGGUACUGACGCUGAGACGCGAAAGCGUGGGGAGCAAACAGG